rnacentral:rRNA from 1 species
CGGUGGUGGGGGAGUAGCCGGGCUAACGCCCGGGUAAUACCGCAUACGUUCCUCUGGGGGGAGUCCCUGGGGGAGGAAAGCUCCGGCGCACGGGAGGGGUUCGCGGCCUAUCAGCUAGUUGGGGGGGUAAUGGCCCACCAAGGCGAUGAUCAGUAGCCGGCCUGAGAGGGCGCACGGCCACACUGGAACUGAAACACGGUCCAG